AAAACGUAAAAAUAUCUCCACAUCAUGAUGUUAUAAUCUAGUUUGUUUGUAAAGUGAUAACUUGUUGUGUUUGUAAGCAUCUUACUAUAAAGUAAAGCUGUUAAGCACUGAGAUAAAAGGUGGAGGUUAGAUGGACAGAAAAUUCGUAAAGGUGCCCUAUUUGAACCUGGUUUGGCAUCUUACAUUGGAGCGGUUCUAUUUAAGGCGAGUCGCCACGUUUGGCUCUUGUGAAUAUCCAAAGAGGAAAGUACGGACGUUGCACUCAGCAGGACCUUGAAAUGUUUGUUGAAGUGUAUCGCUCUAGUGGGGUCGGGCUUAAUGAGCGCCAAAGAAGAUUUGCAGUGCCGAAAGCGACUUUAAAGAGACACUUAACCACGAAAAUAAAGUAGCCAACGAUAUCAAGAAAGUCAUAGGGCGAUCUACUACGUUUGAA